CGGCGUGCCUAAUACAUGCAAGUCGAACGGCUUUUCUAUGGAAGCUUGCUUCCACUGAGAAGAUAGUGGCGAAACGGGGUGAGUAACACGUGGGGUAACCUGCCCAUAAGAGGGGGGAUAACAUCCGGAAACGGGUGCUAAUACCGCAUAGUUUUCUUGAUCGCAUGAUCGGGAAAGGAAAGACGGCCUUUGUGCUGUCGCUUAUGGAUGGACCCGCGGCGUAUUAGUUAGUUGGUGAGGUAACGGCUCACCAAGACGAUGAUACGUAGCCGACCUGAGAGGGUGAUCGGCCACAUUGGGACUGAGACACGGCCCAAACUCCUACGGGAGGCAGCAGUAGGGAAUCUUCCGCAAUGGACGAAAGUCUGACGGAGCAACGCCGCGUGAGUGAAGAAGGGUUUUUUACCGGGAUCGUAAAACUCUGUUGUCAGAGAAGAACAAGUUGGAGAGUAACUGCUCCAGCCUUGACGGUAUCUGACCAGAAAGCCACGGCUAACUACGUGCCAGCAGCAGC
rnacentral:rRNA from 1 species